rnacentral:lncRNA from 11 species
GCGAGAGAUUGUGCAAAAACCUCCGCGUGAGGCUGGCGCGGGAGUCAAAGGCAAGGAAGGAGGAGGAGGAGGAGGUUAUUGUUGUCUCGCUUGAUCGGAGCCCGGCUUGGAGAUGAGUGAACGUUGCGCUUGGUUCCCACUCUGGCGGGCGCCUGCAAGUUGGGGAGACCGCGUGGAACUGGUCUGACCUUGGAGGCUUGCAAUGAAAGCGUAUGUAGUCGGAGAGAACUGCCUGGAUUUGAUCCGAACCGGCGCAGCCCGAGCAGAACCGACGUCGACUACAGAAAGAACCAAGCCAAGCUCUCCUGGCGCGGUGGUUUGGGGGGGAAAGACCGGAAAGUAGCCUCUGGCUGGACUCUGCAGGUGAGCCAAGCCACCCAGAGCCAAUCUGGUCCAAGAGAGGAACUCUCCCAAGAGAUCCGUAUCAGAAAAAGAGCGAAACGCACCAGGCAUGAGCGUGAGAGCAAAGCACAAUAGGCAGCCCAGGCUGAGAGCGGGCAGGAGGUAAGCGGGAAGGACUCUCGGGAGCAGGACACCCCACCCCAAGCUCAGCCCAAGCAAAGCAGGACGGGAGCAAGACUCAACCAAGAGCGGGCUGCAUGGGCUCCGGCUUGUGGGGCGAGCGCUGAAGGAGUCCGGUUGGAAAAGACGGGAUCCCACCUGCAAGUCCGUCCGGGCACCAACGCCGCCUUGGAGAUGACCCAGUCCAGCGAGACCCAGACACACACGCCCACCACCAGUGUGCCCAUGGACAGUAAUGUGGUGGCCAUCAUCAUAGCGACCAUUUCUUCCUCUGUGUUCAUCAUAGCCAUUUUGGUGCUGCUGCUGCUUUUGUACCACCGAGACCCUUUGUGCUGCCAGUUUCUCUGCUCUUGCCGUUUCUUCCAGAGCCCCAGUCAAUACGACUGUCCCCCUCCAUAUUUCAGUAGCAGCCAACGACUGGUGGGCUCUCAGUCUGGAGCACAACACCUGGAGACAAGCACUGCUGAAAACCCUGGCAUGCAGGGUGAUGAGCUGUUCUGUGUUGGACCCCCCAGUAGCUACCAGCUUCCUCCAUGGGAGCAGCCACGGCUACCAAGCUAUGAAAGUGUGCGAAAGAAGGAUCGGCAACGAGAAAUUCACCACAUGAUUGCCGAAAGGUUUGGCUUGUGGGCUGAAGUCUCCCAAGAGGUAAGCAACCUACAGAAAGCCUCUUUGUGAGUGGGUACGAGGAAAUCCAUCCUGCCAUUAUCAAGGGGUACAGUUUUCCUGAUUGUGGGGCUGUAUCUGUGGAGCUUGGUUUAACACUCUACUGUGAUACCACAGGACUCUGUUGUAUCUUUUCAAUGGCUUUUUUCUAUCUUGGAGGAAGGAACACAGUGUUCCAAGAGACUCUAAUGCUAAACCACUUGUUUACAUUCCUUCAAGUUAAUGAUUCAUCCUGUAUCUUUUAAGAAGCAGCAUUUCUGUCUUCUGGGAGAAGACCAAACAGACAAGAGGGCAGCCAUGGGACAAAUGCUUGCCUGUGUCAAUGUUUUACAUACACACCUUGUUGUGCCCAGUGUGUGCCAAAUCUAACACUACAUCAGCUGACCAUGUAGAAUUAAUUGCCACAGAAUUGGGCCACUUUCUUGC